AUCUAAAAAAAAAGAAAAAACAAAAACAAAAAACGCCGUCCCCGUCUCGCGACUCGCACGACAGCGCGGACGCCACCGGCGCCUCGCGGGAGACCUCCGACACCGUCGGAAGCUCCGUCGGACGUGUCCGGCGCGUUCGGCGAAGUCCGACGUUGCUUUCAGCGGCGCUGGAAGCGUCGCGGAAAGCUUCCAGUGCCGCUGGAAGCUUCACGAGAUGUUGCCGGGCGCGUCCUACGACGCUUCCGGCGGCUGCGGAGGCGUCCGGCGUCGCCGGAGAUUGCGCGAUGAUGACUCAACAGUUAACAACUUAACGAAACAAGACGUAAAAACUUACCGGAGCACGGAGUGACGAAGCCUUCGAAGCGGCGCACGACGAAACAGCGACGAUGAUGACGCAGCGACGAUGAGGACGAAACAGCAAAUUUGGAAGAUGAAGCGGCGCACGGCGAAGACGUAAACAGCAAAUUUGGAACAAAAUAUUAAAAGUUUAAAACCUAAAUAACUCGGUCGAGAUCCGCCGAGGCCCGUUGAGUUCCGCCGAGUCUCUUCGAGGGCCGCCGAGAGCCGCCUAGGGCACUCGCCUGGGAUGUUUCCGGCGCGGCUUGUUCCCGCGCAGUGCCUAGGCGGCCGCCUAGCCCGAGUUUUCGAACACUGGGUGCAUGUCUAAAAUCAUGGACUAUAAGAUAAAUGGUUCGACCUAUUUGGAUUUGAGUAAAAUUGUUCGUCUUUAUCUAUGAAGUAUUGAUAAAGAUGGUCAUUUAACUAAUGAUCUUCAAGAUGAUUCGAAGUAAACAUGGCUUAGAGAGGAUGCUCGAUCGCUCCUUCAUAUUCAGAAUUAUAUUGAUAAUGAGAUAAUUAGUUUGAUCAAUUAUUGUGAAUUUGUUAAAGAACUAAUAGAUUAUUUGAAAUUUCUAAUUUAAAAAAGAAAUUUCUCCCAUAUAUAUAUAUAUAUAAAAGAUUUGUAAAAUAUUUUAUCGUGUGGCAAAAUAAGAUCAAUUUUUGAGGAGUUUAAUAUAUUACUUCUCUUUAGUCCUGAUGUGAAAGUUUAAUAAUGCUAACGAGAUUAGAUGAUUAUCAUAAACCUUCUCAUUGGCCUAUUGAUAACUAAUAUUUCGUUGCAUCCUUUUAUAUUCCUAAUUGAUAAUUUUGUUAUCAUGUCGUAUAUAUAAAUUACUUUUUAAUGUAUAAUUAUGAGUAUGAUGUAUUUUGAGUGGUAUUGUAAUUUUCCUACACUUAUAAUCUCAUUUCACAAAUUUUGUAUUGAUUUGUUGGGAGGCAUGAAUAGCCAUGGGACUUGAGUUGAGCCGAACCACGUGGAGUCAAGGUUGGGGGCAAAAGAGAGUUGAUUCAUCUAGAAGUUUGAGGAAUUAAGCUGAAUUAAUCUCAUCCAUUGAUGUGAUGAUGGAGUGAUCUGGACUCUCUACCCAGAUCUAGCCGAUCUUAGGCCUUCGUCAAAAUCUGGGUUAAUCUAAACCUUCUUGCAAAGGAAGAGAACCUAACCGUUGGAUCUAGAUCUGAUCAAGGCAUUAUCCAGAUGUAAUCUGGAUUGUUGAGUUAGAUUGAAUCUGAGUUAUACAUGUACAUGAAUCAAUGGCUGGAAAUUAGAGAUUAUAAGAGAAACAAGGAGCCAUAGAGAGGGCAUCCACUCUUGGUCACCAUCCUCCAGCCCCCGACGCCAUCAACGCCAACUCCCCUUCUCCACCUCGUUGCUCAAAUCCACGCCAACGCCUGCACGCCAAUGUCGGAUCUCUAUCUCUUCCUCACGCAAGGACUCUAAGCGGUUGCCCUUCUUCCUCCAGCAACCCCACAACCGUCGAAGAGCCCUCUCCUUUCCGGGUAGAAGAGGAGGGGCUCCGACCAUCUUCUCCAGUCGCAUGCCUCCGUUUUUCUUCUAUUCAGUCGACCAUCUCCUUCUUCGGGCUAGAAGACUAGGAUCCAGCUGCGCUUCCUGGCAGCAGCAGCCACCUCUUCCUUCCGACGUUCAUCCUUGUCUAUCUCCGACCAUCCAUAAAGGUCUUCCCUUCGGGUUAGAAGGGAAGGUCUUCCUCCCACUUUCUGGCGAUUCUAGAAUUCUGACCAUAUCCUUUCUCUCUUCGUUUCGGACAGCAUCUUCUCCUUCCAACGAUUUGUAGCUCUGACUAGCGGUUCUUCAAUUGUUGUUGUGUUUGGAUUAUUAGUUGUCACUUCUCCAACAUUGCACUAGUUUAUUUUGAAUGGGUUGUUUAGUCAAUUAUGUUUUCUUGCUCUCUUGUUGCUUGGUAGUUUGCUUUCUCUUGUCAGUUACAAGUAUGUGUCGGGUUGAAUUGUAGGUCCAUUAUGCUUGUUAGUUGAAAAUUCUCCAUGCAACAUAGUUUAGUUAAUUGUUCAUUCCCUUUUGAUCACAAUAUGAAUUAGGUUUCAUUUCAAUAUCGUUGUUUGUUAAUUGUCUCUGAUAACACUCUUCCUGAUUGUGGGAACAAUAUAGCAAACAAUCGAACAUUGAGAGAGCUUGCAACACCAGAUGUUGCAUUCCAGACAUUGUGUAUACAGUAUCCAGAGUUGGAUGUGAAUUUUGAGCUACGGUCUGGGAUUAUUCACCUUCUUCCAAAAUUUCAUGUAUUAGCUGGAGAAGGCCCUAAUCAGUACCUGCUGGAGUUCCAUAUAGUGUGUUCUACCAUGAAACCACAUGGGAUCGCUAAAGAAGAUAUUAACCUAAGGACUUUCCAUUUUCAUUGGCAGACACAGCGAAGGAUUGGUUAUAUACUUUACCUUCCGGUGUGAUCACUUGUUGGGCUGAGAUGAGGAAAGUUUUUAUAGAGAAGUUCUUUUCGGCUUCAAGGACAACAACUAUUAGAAAGAAUAUUAAAAGAACAUCUGCGGCAUUCAGUAGCUCUCUAGGAAAACAUUGUAUGAAUACUGGGAGCGAUUCAAGAAACUCUGUAGCAGUUUUCCCACCACUAGAUCAGCGAGCAGUUGCUUAUCCAGUAUUUCUAUGAAGGAGUACUUCCCAUGAACAGAAAUAUAGUGGAUGCAGCUAGUGGAGAAGCAUUAAUGAACAAGACACCUGAUCAAGCAAAGGAACUUAUCUCUAAUUGGCAGUAAAUUCACAGAAGUUUGGGCGUCGAUCGAUGACGGCUUGAGGAGUUAAUCAACUUUAAGCACCUAGCAUUAAAUCUCAAGAAAUAAGGGUUAAUUUGCAGGACUUGACUUCUUUGCUUAGGCAGAUGUCUUUCCAAUAGCCUUUGGCUCAGUCUGUUCAAGUAGCGAGGAAUUGUAGAUUCUGUUACAGUGCAUCUCAUACUACGAACCUAUGUCCAACAAUGCAACCAAAUGAAGGAUCUGCCUUUGCAAAUCCAGUGGCAACAGCAAACAUGUUUCAACCCAGAUCUCAGUUUUACCAGACACAACAGUAUGGGUACAAGUAGCAUUACAACCCUAUGUCUCCUACUUACAAUCCGGAUUGGAAGGAUCAUCGGAAUCUAAGAUAUGAGAAUUCAUCACAACACUCAUAUCAGCUGCCACCUCCAUGCAUUAUUUCAGUAGGUCAGAGGUAGCCUAGGUUUAAUAACAACACAGUUCCAAACAAGUCACAACAAGUCCAAUCGCCCAAACCAGAGUCAUCUACACAAAAUUUGGAGAUCUUAUGAUGUGAAUGUAGCAACAACUUUCACAGCAAUUUUCAACACAGAUGCAACAGUAUCAACAGAGAAAUGAUGCGAUAAUGCAGAGCUUAGAGUGACAGAUGGGUCAGAUGUCAUCUACACAACCAGCUACAAUUCCAGGGUCAAGUCAAUUACCUUUGCAAACUAUUCUGAACCCCAAGGGGAACGUCACUGCCAUCACACUUUGGAGUGGUAGAGCUACUUCUGACUUGCACUUCCAACAACAUCUCCAGUUCUAGAUUCAGGCUGUACAGAUCAGAAUAUUGAGUCAGAAUCAUAGCCUCAUCCUAGGUCCGAGCUACCUGUUCCGUUGCUAUUUCCUCAUAAGUCAGUUUAUCCUGGGAGGAAUAUUGAUGCAGAUAAGACACAAGAGCUCCAGGAGCUGGUAGAUAUUUUUAGUAAGGUGGAAGUCAACAUUCCAUUAUUAAGGGUGAUCAAAUAUAUUCCUAUGUACACUAAGUUUUUGAAGGAUUUAUGUGUUCACAAGAAGUUGAAGGGCACUAAGUUGGUUAGCAUGGGGAAGACUGUAUUAGCGCUUAUUCAGUCAAUGCCCCAGAAAUGCAAGGAGUCGGGAGUUUUCACAAGAUCGUGUGUGAUUGGAGAUCACAAUUUUGUGGAUGCCAUGUUGGAUCUUGGUGUCUCAAUCAAUGCUAUGUUGAAGUCGAUUUUCCUAGCACUUGGUAUCAAACCAUUACAGCUGACCGGAGUAGCCAUUCAGUUGGUCAAGCGUAGCUUUACUCAUCUGUCGGAGUAAUCGAGAAUGUCUUGGUUAAGGUGAAAGAAUUGAUAUUUUCGGCAGACUUUUAGAUUUUGGAUUGGAGGGUGACACAUCUUUGAACCAUACUCCACUGAUUUUGGGAUGACUGUUCUUGAAGACUAUCAGGACAAAGAUCAAUGUGCAUGCAGGAAUGCUGACUAUGGAGUUUGGAGAUAUAGUGGUACAGUUCAGUAUUUUUGACGUGAUGAGGUACCCUCAUUCUUGGGCAUUGGUGUAUUAGACAAGCUAUAUUUUGAGGAGUUAGAUGACAUGGAUUCGGAUUUGGUUUGCAUACUUGAUUUGUUAGAUACUUCGUUGACAGAGGUUGGUGGUGACUCAGAUGUUGUGAACAAUGAUAGCAGUGGAUCAACUCUUGUCUACGAUGCUAUCUUGGAGGACUGCAUAGAGGUAGAUAGCAGGUCCUGAAAAUUGCUUCCAUCCAUUAUGCAACCACCAAGACUUGAUUUGAAACCCCUACCAGAUCAUUUGAAACAUGCUUACUUAGGGAAGAACAAGCAGUUGCCAGUGAUUAUUGCCCAGAAUCUUGAGUUAGAUCAGGAGAAGAGAUAAAUAGAUCUUUUGCGACGAUAUCAGCGGGCUAUCGGAUGGACUAUUGCUGAUAUACCCAAUAAUAGUCCUUCCAUUUGCAUGCAUCGGAUAUUCCUUGAGGAUGAUAUGAAGCCAGUGAGAUAACCACAGCGCAGACUUAACCCGCUCAUUCUGGAUGCAGUUAAGGAGGUGACCAAGCUUCAACAAGCUGAUAUCAUAUAUCCUAUCUCUGACAGUUAGUGGGUGAGUUUGGUGUGGGUGAUCCCAAAGAAAUCUAGUGUUCCAAUUGUAGCAAAUAAGGAAGAUGUAUUGAUUCCAGAAUUCUAUAUCGACUAUCGGAAGCUGAAUCAAGCCACAAGGAUCACUACGUGUUGUCGUUAAUUGAUCAAAUAUUGGAGAGGCUUGCGGGUAAUCACAUUACUGCUUCUUGGAUGGCUAUACGGGUUACUUUCAGAUUCACAUAGCUCUGGAGGAUCAAGAGAAGAUGACUUUUACAUGUUCAUUCAGAACAUUUGCCUAUCGACAAAUGUCAUUUGGACUGUGUAACGCUCCGGGUACUUUCCAACGAUGCAUGGCGGUUCAUUCAAGAUUUUAGCAAGAUUGCCCCUUUGCUUUCAAAUUUGUUACAGAAAGAGGUGGAGUUCCAUUUUGAUCAGAAGUAUAAGGAUGCAUUUGAUUGAUUGAAAAAGGCUCUUGCAUUGAUUUUGAUCAUCAAGCCGCUAGUUUGGAGUCUUCCGUUUGAGCUGAUGUGCGAUGCAUCCAAUUAUGUAGUGGGUGCAAUGUUGACCCAGAGAGCACUCCAUGUCAUUUGUUAUACAUCGAAUACCUUGGAUUCUGCCCAAGCCACAAUAAACAAUAAAUAAAGAGCUUUUGGCUUUAGAUAAA